GCUUUUGAGCUUUCUUGUUGCCGUCUUUGUUAGAGGUAAAGCUGUCCCGGGUUUCUCCACUUUCCUAUGAUAAGGGCAGUUGGGAGCGUGACUCUUGGGGACCACCUGGAGAAAUUUUCCUAAAUUAGAGUGGGCCUGAGCUGCCUGGAUGAGGGACACCCCAGCUGUUUGCGUGCACAGCUGUGGGUGACUCAGAGACCAGCUUCUCCCAGCGCCCUGCCUGCCAGUGCAGCCUCCCAGUGGUGAGACUCGCCUCGGAGGUUCCCACUCUGGCUCCACACCUGUCCCACCCCUGAGACUCACAGGAGGCUGGCUCUAUCCCAGGAAACCUCACAGAGCAGAGAGAAGCAGCAAGUAGACCACCAGCCCGUCACAGCCGCUCCCUGUAGGGCUCAUGGACAAGUGCGUAGGAUCAAGAAUUCACAUUGUGAUGAAGAGUGAUGGGAGACUGUUGCUACCCUACUGAAAUUGGAUGAAUUUGUCAGUAUGGUACUGGAAGAUGUCCCUGAAUUUGAAGUCACACCAGAAGGAAGAAGAAUUACUAAAUUAGACCAAAUUUUGUGAAAUGGAAAUGGUAUAACAACGCCGGUUCCUGGUGGAGAAGGACCUGAAGUAUGAAUGGAUUUCCUUGACUUAUGCUAUAUCCUGUUUUGUCUUACGGUGAUAACGAAAUAGAAUUUUUUUUAACCUUUCCAUGUUUGUAUUCUGUGAAGCCAAGUUUCCCAUUAAAGGGAAAUGCUUUGAGGAUGCCCUGUUCAUGCCCAUUUUUGUAAGUUAAUCAUGAUUAUUUUGGAAAAAGAACAGUUUUUUUAAGACAAAAAAUAAAGGUGUUUUUG
ensembl:lncRNA